CAGCCGCCACGGUAAUACAGAGGGUGCGAGCGUUAAUCGGAUUUACUGGGCGUAAAGCGUGCGUAGGCGGCUUCUUAAGUCGGAUGUGAAAUCCCUGAGCUUAACUUAGGAAUUGCAUUCGAUACUGGGAAGCUAGAGUAUGGGAGAGGAUGGUAGAAUUCCAGGUGUAGCGGUGAAAUGCGUAGAGAUCUGGAGGAAUACCGAUGGCGAAGGCAGCCAUCUGGCCUAAUACUGACGCUGAGGUACGAAAGCAUGGGGAGCAAACAGGAUUAGAUACCCCCGUAGUCCCUGUAUCUUAUAC
rnacentral:rRNA from 1 species